UCCGGCGCCUCUCCGUCACCCCGGCCCUCCUGCCAUGCAAGCUCGUUGUACGCAUCGAUAACAGACUCCCCAUGCCCUCUUGAUUUCUCUCCUCGUUUCCGCUUGAUCGGAAUCGGCUGACGAUGAACUAAUCCCCCGUACCGUUCGUUCGUUCGUUUCUUUGGCGCGGAGCAUGCGGCUGGAGGUGAAGCAAUUCUAACCAGAUCAUGUGCUGAAUGAGGCAUAUAUACCCUCAAUCGGCAUGCCUGCUCUUGCGCUUCUCUAUGCUGGCCUUGAUUGUGUGGUUGUCUGCCGGAAUGAUUGUUCCAGAAAUUUGUUGUUUGGACUAACCUUGUUGUCUGGAUUGAUCCAGAACUUUGCACAGCAAUUUGUAACUCAACUUUCGUUGUUAACCAAAUGUAUCUGUUAUCAUUUCGAAAUGAAUGCAUGGGGUACGGGCAGGCUGGCUACUGCAGCUGUACAGGCAUUGCAACAGUAAGAAAAACCCUUUCUUGUACUCCCUCCGUUCCGAAUUACUUGUCGCAGGUAUGGAUGUAUCUAAGUGUAUUUUAGUUCUACAUACAUCCAUUACUGCGAUGAGUAAUUUGGAACGGAGGGAGUACAAAUCAAGUAAUCAAUGCUACUGUAUGGAUGAGGUCAAUGACGGAGAUUUCAUUUAGCUCACCUAAUAGCAAUGUUAGAGUUCCCUGCCAAGUCUAUUGUGCGUUCUCAUAGUACAGAGGAUGAGUUUUUUUUUCAACUGAAGAGGAUGAGUUUUUGUAAACGCAUUUUUUCCCUACUAAAUUCGACGAAAAAUUGGCAGCAUGGCAGUGCUAACAGUAGUAGUUUCUCCGAGGGAGAUCAGUUUCUUACUUUCGUUAAAUGAUAAUAUUCAUGCUGAAGAUCAUUGGCCCUCUCAAAUUAUUUUUCCAUUUAUAUUGUUUCUACAUCUAUUGAAAGGUGAGUUAACAGGAACGAUAGAUAGAUGAUUUGCCGUACACUACCCCUAGGGCUUUAUCUUCCAUAGACACUAGUACAUGGCUAAAACUUGUGUGUGAAGCUAGGAUCACACGAGAUCAAUUUAACAGAUUUUAGAAUUUCUAAUAUCACGGGCGCCAAGUGCUUCCUGCUCUCGGCGAGGGCGCUGCAUAUCUCGCGGGGCGAGACGCCCUCCUCCUGGCAAUGGAUCCACCUCCGCGGCGACGAGAUCCAAGGAAACGAGAGGUUCUUGGAAGCAGCCAAGCUCCGCAAGGUUUCGCGGUUGGAAAUCCGUGGGAAGAUGCGCACAAUGUAGGAUGCUCUCGCAGAACUCGGCGUACGCCGCUUACAUGGUGUUCAAGUUGGCAGAUAGUGGGUUCAACAAGCUGGAUUUUCCGUUUCAGGUGGCAUCAGUCAGCAUUGGAUGGAUCCAUUCAACACGGCAAGUUUGCCUUCAAGGCUACAUGGAAGUUGGGGAUGACGGAGUGACUCACAAAAAUAUUUGGAGGUCUAGCUGGGAGGAAAAAUGGGGACCUUGCAAGCGCAGUCGCGUUACUGGAGCAAUUCAUCUCACAGACAACAUUGUGCUCUCUCGGAGAAGGGCUAACGGCUGGAUGGAGGUCGAGUUGGGUGAGUUCUACAACGAGGAAGACGACGAUGAGGUGUCUGUCAUCCUGAUGCAGACAACAGGAGGAGUACAAGAGUGGUCUUGUUGUGUUGGGUGUCGAGGUUAGAUCUAAGCAAUGAUGUGGACGAGCUUGUAAGAUCGACCAAAUGAGGGUGCAUCUACUGUAUUGAAAAUAAGGUUAUGAAAAAAUACGCCAGUUUGAAUUGUUGCAAGCAA